rnacentral:lncRNA from 1 species
CUCAGGUGAUUCGCCCGCCUCGGCCUCCCGAAGUGCUGGGAUUACAGGCGUGAGCCACCGCACCCAGCCCAAACCCACAGUUUUAAUCAUGCUUUUGCUUGGCAAGCCGAUUUCUCUAAGCCAGAGUGAGCCGCAAGGAGAGCCCACGGGUAUUCAUUUCACUUACUCUUUUCCUGUGCCGGGUAGUUUGAGGUGCUUGAGGAUGCAGCAGUGAACGAUGUUGAUGACAGUCUCUGCCCUCGGGCAGCUUCCUUUCUAGUAGGAGACAAUAUGGAAAUAAGAGAGUAUCGUUGGCAAUACUAUGCUGACUGGCAGGGAUGGACUGAGGACUUUACAUAGGGCAGUCAGGCGAAGUCUCUAAGUAAGAGGACACUGAGUUACAAGGGUGACGAGCCAGACAGGACUGAAGGAGCUCUGGAGGAGGAAUUUGCCAGAAAGAAAGACCAGGAAAGGCAAACCCCUCGAAGUUGGAACAAGCUUGGCUUAAUGAAAUAAUCAAAAGGCGAGAAAGAAAACUUCUGUGACCAAGCGUAUGGGGGGCUUUCCCCAUACACCAAGAAAGCAGUUCGACACUAUCCACCUGGAAGUCACGUCAGAUCCUACAGAACUUGUCAACAACUCAGUCCCACAAAAGUGCCCCUGACUUGAGACAUCAAUUGCAAGUCCGAGCUUCUGGAACUUCCCACCAACCAGCUAUUAAUUGGCAUUCCCAUGAAGCUCCUUUUGGGUUCAGGGCAGCAGGCAAGAAG